rnacentral:rRNA from 1 species
UCGAGCGGACAGAUGGGAGCUUGCUCCCUGAAGUCAGCGGCGGACGGGUGAGUAACACGUGGGCAACCUGCCUGUAAGACUGGGAUAACUUCGGGAAACCGGAGCUAAUACCGGAUAACACCGAGGACCUCAUGGUCCUUGGUUGAAAGAUGGCUUCGGCUAUCACUUACAGAUGGGCCCGCGGCGCAUUAGCUAGUUGGUGAGGUAACGGCUCACCAAGGCGACGAUGCGUAGCCGACCUGAGAGGGUGAUCGGCCACACUGGGACUGAGACACGGCCCAGACUCCUACGGGAGGCAGCAGUAGGGAAUCUUCCGCAAUGGACGAAAGUCUGACGGAGCAACGCCGCGUGAGCGAUGAAGGCCUUCGGGUCGUAAAGCUCUGUUGUUAGGGAAGAACAAGUACCGUUCGAAUAGGGCGGUACCUUGACGGUACCUAACCAGAAAGCCACGGCUAACUACGUGCCAGCAGCCGCGGUAAUACGUAGGUGGCAAGCGUUGUCCGGAAUUAUUGGGCGUAAAGCGCGCGCAGGCGGUUCCUUAAGUCUGAUGUGAAAGCCCACGGCUCAACCGUGGAGGGUCAUUGGAAACUGGGGAACUUGAGUGCAGAAGAGGAAAGCGGAAUUCCACGUGUAGCGGUGAAAUGCGUAGAGAUGUGGAGGAACACCAGUGGCGAAGGCGGCUUUCUGGUCUGUAACUGACGCUGAGG